CAAUGGUCAUGAAUCUGAGCUAACUCCAGGAGACUGGGAAGGACAGGGAAGCCUGGCAUGCUACUGUCACGGGGUCACAAGCACUGGACACAACUUAGCAACCGAACAACAACAGUAGUAUAAUCCGUCUGAAGGUGGGGAUCUUCUCCACCUGGGGAUCAAACCCAGGUCUCCCGCAUUGCAGGCAGACGCUUCACCAUCUGAGCCAUGCAGAUGCGAUGGUAACGACAGGGCAGCCAGUUUAGGGACUUUGCGUGGGUAUGGUCCCUUGCGAUCCUGCUCAAUUGCAUCUGGCCACUGAGAGGAAGAGCAGCCUGACCUGAAGCAGAGGACUCUGGGAGAGAAGGCAUCACCUCUCCAGGGUCUGCAAAUGCUGAACAAAAACACCCUCACCAGAAGGUGACACUGGAGAAAGCCAGCCAGGCAGAAGGCUCAAAAGAAGGAGGAUAAAACCAGAGUUCCUGGGAGAGAAUGAUCAUGAUUCCAAGCAUGUGCCCAGUGGAGUUCCUAACAGGACAUGGCCACGGGGAAUCAGCUAACCUCGGACACAGCCAGAACCCAGAGCUCACAUCGGUGGUCAAAACCCCUCACCUACCUAUCAAAGGUAGAGGAGUUGCCUCAACAGUAAGGAAAGGAGUUUAGAGGCCACAGCCCCGGCCUGACAAAGAGGGUGGAGAGAGAAGGGGAGCAGAUUUUCUAGGGAAGCAGCCCCCAGGGUUGGAAGUUAGAGGUCCUCCAGACGAUGAACAGAACCCGAGGGGAUCCCCAAGAACACCCAUCUCCCACUGGAAAUCAGUCACAUGACCAGUUACACUUGUUCAGGGGGACACUCGCAAUCCUCCCACUGUUCUGAGAUGUAGAGUCCAGAGUCCAAAUGGAGAUGCCCAGGACAGGGCCAGACUGAGCUGCGCCCCCGAUGCCUGGGGUAGAAGGCCCAGCCUGCUCUCUGAGUGGGGCCCCUUUCCCCAGACAGACUCGGGACAGAUGAUGGGGUGGAAGGGACGAAGUCCCACCAGCCAGCCGGUGCCAAAGAGUGAUGAGGCCCACACCGCUAGCUCAGUCCCACCCUCCCCGGCAGCAGAGAGCGGCCCAACAACUCUGCUCCCCCAGACUGCCCUAUCUUUUUCACAGAUACCCUAGGGCUGGACAGAGAGAUGCAUGGGCUUGGAUGAGUUUGAGGGGCUCUUGGAGGGGGUCAUCACCGUCCCCUGGGAUGACAGCGUCUGUGGACCAUUUCUGAUCAUCAAGAAAGUCAGGUCUCUGCGCUUUGGGAGAAAACAUGAUUUCAGCAGCCCCCCAGGUAGAAAUGAGACAAAUACACUUUUGGGGGGCCGGCCUUUUUGUCCUUCAUGUCACUGUGGCCUUGAGCUCACCCAGCUUUCUAACACAGGGAGAAUUAAGAGUGAUUUCAGGUUUCUGGGGCCCCUGGAAAAUAAAAGGCCUUUCAUCUUGCACUGAGGAUAAAAAUGAAGGAUGGACUGGGCCCGUAGUGUCAUCCUACAAGGAUUUGUUUGGCCAACAAGGCUGGACUCUGGUUUGAAAUGCAGGAGAGUGAGAGCUACGGCCUUUAUUUUAAAUUGUCAACUUCCCGAGCAUGGGUGGGCAGGGGAUGAGGGGAGAGAGGUCAGCCCACCAAGCAGGCUUGGAAAAAAAUUAAGGGGGAGGUUUU